AUGGCCACAUCACGCUGAUUGAAACACCGGUUCCCGUAUGAUCACCAAAGUUAAGCAACGUCGAGCCUGGUCCGUACCUAGAUGGGUGGCCGCUUGAAUGUGCGCGUGGUGCAA